rnacentral:rRNA from 1 species
UACGUAGGGAGCAAGCGUUGUCCGGAAUCAUUGGGCGUAAAGCGCGCGUAGGUGGCCCCAUAAGUCCGCUGUGAAAGUCAAAGGCUCAACCUUUGAAAGCCGGUGGAUACUGUGGGACUAGAGUACGGAAGAGGCGAGUGGAAUUCCUGGUGUAGCGGUGGAAUGCGCAGAUAUCAGGAGGAACACCAAUAGCGAAGGCAGCUCGCUGGGACGUUACUGACACGUGAGGCGCGAAAGCUGGGGAGCGAACAGG